CCUUUAAACAUUUAGUAACAGAGUUCAUACUUGGGUUCAAUCAAUUCUUCACAAUUGGAAGAAUCACCGAAAAAACCUCUUCUUCUUCCCUCAAUCUUCAUCCUCCAUUCACAAAAAAAACCACAAAAAACUCCGAGACUCACCUUUCAAUUCUCUCUUCAAUUCUAUCUUCCAUAAUAUUUACGCUUGAAUCUUCAUCGCAUUUCACCUUUAAGCCUCAUCUUCAUCUUCAACCUUGA